rnacentral:rRNA from 1 species
GACGAACGCUGGCGGCGUGCUUAACACAUGCAAGUCGAACGGUGAAGCGCCUUCCUUUUUGGUGGGUGUGGAUGAGUGGCGAACGGGUGAGUAACACGUGAGUAACCUGCCCCCUUCUUCUGGAUAACCGCAUGAAAGUGUGGCUAAUACGGGAUAUUCUGGGUCUGUCGCAUGAUGGGUCUGGGAAAGAUAUUGUUUCGGUGGGGGAUGGGCUCGCGGCCUAUCAGCUUGUUGGUGGGGGGAUGGCCUACCAAGGCGGUGACGGGUAGCCGGCCUGAGAGGGUGGACGGUAACACGGGGACUGAGACACGGCCCAGACUCCUACGGGAGGCAGCAGGGGGGAAUAUUGCACAAUGGGCGCAAGCCUGAUGCAGCGACGCCGCGUGAGGGAUGGAGGCCUUCGGGUUGUGAACCUCUUUCGCCAGUGAAGCAGGCCUGCCUCGUUUGUGGGUGGGUUGACGGUAGCUGGAUAAGAAGCGCCGGCUAACUACGUG